GGGUUGUGAGGUUAAGCGACUAAGCGUACACGGUGGAUGCCCUGGCAGUCAGAGGCGAUGAAGGACGUGCUAAUCUGCGAUAAGCGUCGGUAAGGUGAUAUGAACCGUUAUAACCGGCGAUUUCCGAAUGGGGAAACCCAGUGUGAUUCGUCACACUAUCAUUAACUGAAUCCAUAGGUUAAUGAGGCGAACCGGGGGAACUGAAACAUCUAAGUACCCCGAGGAAAAGAAAUCAACCGAGAUUCCCCCAGUAGCGGCGAGCGAACGGGGAGCAGCCCAGAGCCUGAAUCAGUGUGUGUGUUAGUGGAAGCGUCUGGAAAGGCGCGCGAUACAGGGUGACAGCCCCGUACACAAAAAUGCACAUACUGUGAGCUCGAUGAGUAGGGCGGGACACGUGGUAUCCUGUCUGAAUAUGGGGGGACCAUCCUCCAAGGCUAAAUACUCCUGACUGACCGAUAGUGAACCAGUACCGUGAGGGAAAGGCGAAAAGAACCCCGGCGAGGGGAGUGAAAAAGAACCUGAAACCGUGUACGUACAAGCAGUGGGAGCACGCUUAGGCGUGUGACUGCGUACCUUUUGUAUAAUGGGUCAGCGACUUAUAUUCUGUAGCAAGGUUAACCGAAUAGGGGAGCCGAAGGGAAACCGAGUCUUAACUGGGCGUUAAGUUGCAGGGUAUAGACCCGAAACCCGGUGAUCUAGCCAUGGGCAGGUUGAAGGUUGGGUAACACUAACUGGAGGACCGAACCGACUAAUGUUGAAAAAUUAGCGGAUGACUUGUGGCUGGGGGUGAAAGGCCAAUCAAACCGGGAGAUAGCUGGUUCUCCCCGAAAGCUAUUUAGGUAGCGCCUCGUGAAUUCAUCUCCGGGGGUAGAGCACUGUUUCGGCAAGGGGGUCAUCCCGACUUACCAACCCGAUGCAAACUGCGAAUACCGGAGAAUGUUAUCACGGGAGACACACGGCGGGUGCUAACGUCCGUCGUGAAGAGGGAAACAACCCAGACCGCCAGCUAAGGUCCCAAAGUCAUGGUUAAGUGGGAAACGAUGUGGGAAGGCCCAGACAGCCAGGAUGUUGGCUUAGAAGCAGCCAUCAUUUAAAGAAAGCGUAAUAGCUCACUGGUCGAGUCGGCCUGCGCGGAAGAUGUAACGGGGCUAAACCAUGCACCGAAGCUGCGGCAGCGACGCUGAUGCGUUGUUGGGUAGGGGAGCGUUCUGUAAGCCUGUGAAGGUGUGCUGUGAGGCAUGCUGGAGGUAUCAGAAGUGCGAAUGCUGACAUAAGUAACGAUAAAGCGGGUGAAAAGCCCGCUCGCCGGAAGACCAAGGGUUCCUGUCCAACGUUAAUCGGGGCAGGGUGAGUCGACCCCUAAGGCGAGGCCGAAAGGCGUAGUCGAUGGGAAACAGGUUAAUAUUCCUGUACUUGGUGUUACUGCGAAGGGGGGACGGAGAAGGCUAUGUUGGCCGGGCGACGGUUGUCCCGGUUUAAGCGUGUAGGCUGGUUUUCCAGGCAAAUCCGGAAAAUCAAGGCUGAGGCGUGAUGACGAGGCACUACGGUGCUGAAGCAACAAAUGCCCUGCUUCCAGGAAAAGCCUCUAAGCAUCAGGUAACAUCAAAUCGUACCCCAAACCGACACAGGUGGUCAGGUAGAGAAUACCAAGGCGCUUGAGAGAACUCGGGUGAAGGAACUAGGCAAAAUGGUGCCGUAACUUCGGGAGAAGGCACGCUGAUAUGUAGGUGAAGCGACUUGCUCGUGGAGCUGAAAUCAGUCGAAGAUACCAGCUGGCUGCAACUGUUUAUUAAAAACACAGCACUGUGCAAACACGAAAGUGGACGUAUACGGUGUGACGCCUGCCCGGUGCCGGAAGGUUAAUUGAUGGGGUCAGCGCAAGCGAAGCUCUUGAUCGAAGCCCCGGUAAACGGCGGCCGUAACUAUAACGGUCCUAAGGUAGCGAAAUUCCUUGUCGGGUAAGUUCCGACCUGCACGAAUGGCGUAAUGAUGGCCAGGCUGUCUCCACCCGAGACUCAGUGAAAUUGAACUCGCUGUGAAGAUGCAGUGUACCCGCGGCAAGACGGAAAGACCCCGUGAACCUUUACUAUAGCUUGACACUGAACAUUGAGCCUUGAUGUGUAGGAUAGGUGGGAGGCUUUGAAGUGUGGACGCCAGUCUGCAUGGAGCCGACCUUGAAAUACCACCCUUUAAUGUUUGAUGUUCUAACGU
rnacentral:rRNA from 1 species